rnacentral:tRNA from 3 species
GCCCCCAUCGUCUAUCGGCUAGGACGGGUGGUUCUCAUCCACCAAAGCGGAGUUCGACUCUCCGUGGGGGCACCA